GAUGAAGGAACGUAGCGAAAUGCGAUAAGUAAUGUGAAUUGCAGAAUUCAGUGAAUCAUCGAAUCUUUGAACGCACCUUGCGCCCUUUGGCUAUUCCGAAGGGCAUGCCUGUUUGAGUAUCAUGAACACCUCAACUCUCAUGGUUUGCCAUGAUGAGCUUGGACUCUGGGGGUCUUGCUGGCCUAUGGUCAGCUCCUCUCAAAUAAAUCAGCUUGCCAGUGUUUGGUGGCAUCACAGGUGUGAUAACUAUCUAUGCUUGUGGUUUUCCAUCAGGUAACCUUCAGUGAUGGAGGUUCGCUGGAGCUCAUAAAUGUCCCUCCUCAGCGAGGACAGCUUUUUGAACGUUUGAUCUCAAAUCAGGUAGGACUACCCGCUGAACUUAAGCAUAUCAAUAAGCGGAGGA
rnacentral:misc_RNA from 1 species